rnacentral:lncRNA from 1 species
GUUUUAAAGAAAGGUUUGAAGUGUUCUUUAUAGCUUUAGAACAUGCUUUGUGUAACAGGAACAACACUAAACAGUUUAGAUGUUUUCCUUAUGAGUGAAUACCAUCCUUUAGGAAUGGUAUUCACUCUUAAAGAAAAUGUGUGCAGAAGUCCAGACUUCUGCAAGUCAGACAUGUGCAAGUGCAGAAGUCCAGACUUUUGCAGACUUGUUCACACAAGUCUGCAGAAGUCUGGUUCUUGCACUAAAAGGUGCCCACUGUGUUUUUAUAUAUGGUGCAUACAAUAACUCAUUUUUAACCAAAAGUGGAUU